AACGAACGCUGGCGGCAGGCUUAACACAUGCAAGUCGAGCGCCCCGCAAGGGUAGCGGCAGACGGGUGAGUAACGCGUGGGAACGUACCCUUUGCUACGGAAUAGCUCCGGGAAACUGGAAUUAAUACCGUAUGUGCCCUACGGGGGAAAGAUUUAUCGGCAAAGGAUCGGCCCGCGUUGGAUUAGCUAGUUGGUGGGGUAAUGGCCUACCAAGGCGACGAUCCAUAGCUGGUCUGAGAGGAUGAUCAGCCACAUUGGGACUGAGACACGGCCCAAACUCCUACGGGAGGCAGCAGUGGGGAAUAUUGGACAAUGGGCGCAAGCCUGAUCCAGCCAUGCCGCGUGAGUGAUGAAGGCCUUAGGGUUGUAAAGCUCUUUCACCGGAGAAGAUAAUGACGGUAUCCGGAGAAGAAGCCCAGGCUAACUUCGUGCCAGCCGCCGCCGUAAGAC
rnacentral:rRNA from 1 species